CUUUUGCAUAACCUCAGUAGAUAAAGCAUGCUGAGGUCAUGUCAGGUCAUUUCAAGCUCUUCUGUGUCGAGCUGAGGAACUGCUCUGUGCCCGGCUUACAGAACUGGAAGGGGUCGCCACCUUCCGCCUGAUGGAGGCUGGAGAAUGGAUGGAACCUGGAUCCCUGGAGCCUGGGACACUACCUCGCUGCGGUUGGUGGUGGCAGCAGACCAGUAGGAGGGCGGUUGGCAGCGGGAGCUUCUUCUGCCGGGCUGGAGGACUAGGAGAAGGAAGAGGGACCGCCACAUGCUGGAGGCUGGAGCCUGUGCCACCGUGGCUCACCUCGCUGUGGUUGGUGGCGGCUCGCCUUGCUGUGGUUGGUGGUGACGUCGGAGACUGCAGCUCGGCCACAGUGGUAGAAAUGUGUUGGGGUAGAUGGAGCCGGACUGUGUAGAACAAAUAAUUACAGAAACAAAGAAAACUUUUGCUGUGUUGGGCACUUGCUCCCAUCUGCUUUCUUCUCUAGAAUCCACUGCCCUAGAAUGAGUAAUUUUUCUUAGAAGCAGAGUUGGAACCACUGAAGAAGCACAGGUGAGCCCUCCCCAGGACACACUCGCUAGUCCCCAACGGAAGAACUGUUGCUGCAUCCAUUGAGGACCACCAGAACAACCCCAUCAUGGCCCUGUCACCAGGCCCAGUUUGGCUCCAUGAUAACCAAGACGCAGGUCCAGAGACAACCGCCCUGCUUGAUGCCUGCAUCUGACCUCCCUUGGUGGGUAGUGAUGAGCACAACAUGGAAGAAGCCAGGGCAGCUUGCGGCCAGCUGCCCUACAGCCCCAGAUGGCUGGGGACAAGGAUUCCAAAAGGAUGAUUUUGGAGCUGUAGGAUUGAAUGACUGGCCUGCUGGGUUUUGGAUGUUCAUGUAUCCUCUGAGUCCCAUCGGUGUUUGUUUUUCUUUCAGGCAAUUUUUCUUCUAUUGGCUGGGAAUGCUUACCCAUUGCCUGUACAAUCAUUGUACCUUGGAAGUAGUUAACUUGCUUUAUAAUUCAGAGGCUCAUGGGCAGAAGGGACUGUAUCCUUGUCCCAGAUAAAACUUUGGGCUUUGGACAUUUGCUGGAAUGAGUUAAGAUUUGGGGGACUGUAGGGAAGUCAUCAUCGUAUUUUGCAACGUGAGAAAGACAUGAGAUUUGCAUGGGCAGGGACAGAAUAAUAUGACUUGGCUCUGUGUCCCACUGAUGUGAAAUUGUAAUGGGAAAUGUUAAAGGUGGUGGGGGCUGGUGGAAGGUGAUUUAAUCAUGGUGGAGAG